GCAUUGGUGGUUCACUGGUAGAAUUCUCGCCUGCCACGCGGGAGACCCGGCUCUGAUUCCUGACCAAUGCA
rnacentral:tRNA from 1 species